UUAAAGGGAUUUUCCUUGCCUGUCCAUUUUUCUGGGGGAAGGAUCCUAUUGACGGUGAGGGAGAAAAAUUAGUUGUCAUUGAGAAGCUAUGGUUGUUCGUGAAUCCGAAUAGCUCGGGAUUAGAUGACCCGUUGAUUAACCCGGUAAAGGAUCCGAAUUUGUCUAGCUUAGGAUGUGAUAAAGUAGUUGUGUAUGUGGCCGGA
rnacentral:misc_RNA from 1 species